rnacentral:tRNA from 1 species
GUCUUUAUAGUUUAAUAAAAACAUUAGUCUUGUAAACUAAAAUUGCUACCCCUAAAGACU